rnacentral:tRNA from 1 species
CGGAGUGUAGCGCAGCCUGGUUAGCGCACCUGUUUUGGGUACAGGGGGCCGGGGGUUCGAAUCCCUCCACUCCGA